UACGGGGGGGGCAAGCGUUGUUCGGAAUUACUGGGCGUAAAGGGUUCGUAGGUGGCUUGCUAAGUCAGACGUGAAAUCCCUCAGCUUAACUGGGGAACUGCGUCUGAUACUGGCAAGCUUGAGUGCAGGAGAGGAACGCGGAAUUCCAGGUGUAGCGGUGAAAUGCGUAGAUAUCUGGAGGAACACCGGUGGCGAAGGCGGCGUUCUGGACUGCAACUGACACUGAGAGACGAAAGCCAGGGGAGCAAACGGG
rnacentral:rRNA from 1 species